rnacentral:rRNA from 1 species
GUGAAACUGCGAAUGGCUCAUUAAAUCAGUUAUCGUUUAUUUGAUAGUACCUUACUACUUGGAUAACCGUGGUAAUUCUAGAGCUAAUACAUGCUAAAAACCCCGACUUCGGAAGGGGUGUAUUUAUUAGAUAAAAAGCCAAUGCCCUCCGGGGCUCUUUGGUGAUUCAUAGUAACUUAACGGAUCGCAUGGCCUUGCGCCGGCGACGGUUCAUUCAAAUUUCUGCCCUAUCAACUUUCGAUGGUAAGGUAUUGGCUUACCAUGGUUUCAACGGGUAACGGGGAAUUAGGGUUCGAUUCCGGAGAGGGAGCCUGAGAAACGGCUACCACAUCCAAGGAAGGCAGCAGGCGCGCAAAUUACCCAAUCCCGACACGGGGAGGUAGUGACAAUAAAUACUGAUACAGGGCUCUUUUGGGUCUUGUAAUCGGAAUGAGUACAAUUUAAACCCCUUAACGAGGAACAAUUGGAGGGCAAGUCUGGUGCCAGCAGCCGCGGUAAUUCCAGCUCCAAUAGCGUAUAUUAAAGUUGUUGCAGUUAAAAAGCUCGUAGUUGAACCUUGGGCCUGGCUGGCCGGUCCGCCUCACCGCGUGUACUGGUCGGCCGGGCCUUUCCUUCUGGAGAACCCCAUGCCCUUCACUGGGUGUGCGGGGGAACCAGGACUUUUACUGUGAAAAAAUUAGAGUGUUCAAAGCAGGCCUUUGCUCGAAUACGUUAGCAUGGAAUAAUAGAAUAGGACGUGCGAUCCUAUUUUGUUGGUUUCUAGGACCGCCGUAAUGAUUAAUAGGGAUAGUCGGGGGCAUCAGUAUUCAAUUGUCAGAGGUGAAAUUCUUGGAUUUAUUGAAGACUAACUACUGCGAAAGCAUUUGCCAAGGAUGUUUUCAUUAAUCAGUGAACGAAAGUUAGGGGAUCGAAGACGAUCAGAUACCGUCGUAGUCUUAACCGUAAACUAUGCCGACUGGGGAUCGGGCGAUGUUUCUAUCUUGACUCGCUCGGCACCCUAAGAGAAAU